AGAAAGGUAAGAGCUCAAAGAGUGAUAAUGAAUCCAAACGUUGCUCGCAAAGGAUUGCGGAGAAGGUAGAAAAGGGAAAGCGAGGGAUGGAUGGAUAGCCAUCUCAUCUUAUCCCGUCACGCACCCCACCGGGUGCCCGGAUCAGCGCCCCGGCCGCUGUCAUGGCGGCGGCCGAGAGAGAGAGAUAUUUCGCUGGAAAGCGAUGCCGAAACCACCCCCACGGGCCACGGACCCACCGCUCCGCGUCUGGGUCCUCGGUCACUUCGACUAAUUCCCUGCGCACGCCAGCCGCCGGCUUCACGUCGC
rnacentral:lncRNA from 1 species